UACAGGGGGUGCGAGCGUUAAUCGGAAUUACUGGGCGUAAAGCGCGCGUAGGCGGCUUUGCAAGUCGGGUGUGAAAUCCCCAGGCUUAACCUGGGAACUGCAUUCGAGACUGCAUUGCUAGAGUAUGGGAGAGGGAAGUGGAAUUUCCGGUGUAGCGGUGAAAUGCGUAGAUAUCGGAAGGAACAUCAGUGGCGAAAGCGACUUCCUGGACCAAUACUGACGCUCAUGUGCGAAAGCGUGGGAAGCAAACAGG
rnacentral:rRNA from 1 species